rnacentral:rRNA from 1 species
UGGGGAAUAUUGCACAAUGGGGGAAACCCUGAUGCAGCAACGCCGCGUGAGUGAUGAAGGUUUUCGGAUCGUAAAGCUCUGUCUUUGGGGAAGAUAGUGACGGUACCCAAGGAGGAAGCCACGGCUAACUACGUGCCAA